AAUUAUUGCCCGGGCCCAACUAUACUCACUAAAACUGACCCAAAGGCCAAAUUACAACCUAACCCAAUUACAAGGCCCAAUUGGCCUAAGAUAACAGAAGCCCUAAGCAGCAGGUAGCCUCAGCGCCGCACGUUCCCACGUUGCAGCAACCGUCCAUCACCCACGUCGUUUCACCCACGAUCAGCAACUCCGCAUAACGCCGAUUCCACCUGCAAUAAAUCAAAAAACAGAGGGAUUGAUCAAAGGGGGCAGUAGAGGAAAAAAGAAAAAAAAGAAAAAUGGUUUUUGUAAAUUUUGGGUACGUCUAAAGCGAUUUUUG
rnacentral:lncRNA from 1 species